rnacentral:rRNA from 1 species
AUACGGAGGGUGCGAGCGUUAAUCGGAAUUACUGGGCGUAAAGCGUACGUAGGCGGUUGGUUAAGUUAGAUGUGAAAGCCCCGGGCUUAACCUGGGAACUGCAUUUAAAACUGGCGAACUAGAGUUGAGUAGAGGGGAGUGGAAUUUCAGGUGUAGCGGUGAAAUGCGUAGAGAUCCGAAGGAACACCAGUGGCGAAGGCGACUCCCUGGACUCGAACUGACGCUGAGGUACGAAAGCGUGGGUAGCAAACGGGAUUAGAAACCCUAGUAGUCC